UUGCAAUGAUGAAAAAUUCAAUGAGACUUUUUUGAGAGUUUAUAGCUCCGUGAAACGUCGACUUUCAUGUCGAUCUGAGCGGUUAGCUGAGCAG